rnacentral:piRNA from 1 species
UCAGAAGACUCAAGACUUAUACUCCCUUUGU